CGUCCGAGUUGUAAUCUGGAGAAGCGUUUUCUGCGUUGGACCGUGUACAAGUUUUCUGGAAUGGAACGUCAUAGAGGGUGAGAAUCCCGUCUUUGACACGGACUACCAAUGCUUUGUGAUACGCUCUCGAAGAGUCGAGUUGUUUGGGAAUGCAGCUCAAAAUGGGUGGUAAAUUCCAUCUAAAGCUAAAUAUUGGCGAGAGACCGAUAGCGAACAAGUACCGUGAGGGAAAGAUGAAAAGCACUUUGGAAAGAGAGUUAAACAGUACGUGAAAUUGUUGAAAGGGAAACGUUUGAAGUCAGUCGCGUCGGCCGAGACUCAACCUUACUUUUGUUCGGUGUACUUCUCGGUCGACGGGUCAACAUCAAUUUUGAUCGUCGGAUAAAGGCUUGGGGAAUGUGGCAUCUCUCGGGAUGUGUUAUAGCCCUGGGUUCACAUACGACGGUUGGGAUUGAGGAACUCAGCACGCCUUUAUGGUCGGGGUUCGCCCACGUAACGUGCUUAGGAUGUUGGCAUAAUGGCUUUAAGCGACCCGUCUUGAAACACGGA
rnacentral:rRNA from 1 species